AACGGUAGCACAGAGAGCUUGCUCUCGGGUGACGAGUGGCGGACGGGUGAGUAAUGUCUGGGAAACUGCCUGAUGGAGGGGGAUAACUACUGGAAACGGUAGCUAAUACCGCAUAACGUCGCAAGACCAAAGAGGGGGACCUUCGGGCCUCUUGCCAUCAGAUGUGCCCAGAUGGGAUUAGCUAGUAGGUGGGGUAACGGCUCACCUAGGCGACGAUCCCUAGCUGGUCUGAGAGGAUGACCAGCCACACUGGAACUGAGACACGGUCCAGACUCCUACGGGAGGCAGCAGUGGGGAAUAUUGCACAAUGGGCGCAAGCCUGAUGCAGCCAUGCCGCGUGUAUGAAGAAGGCCUUCGGGUUGUAAAGUACUUUCAGCGGGGAGGAAGGUGUUGCGGUUAAUAACCGCAGCAAUUGACGUUACCCGCAGAAGAAGCACCGGCUAACUCCGUGCCAGCAGCCGCGGUAAUACGGAGGGUGCAAGCGUUAAUCGGAAUUACUGGGCGUAAAGCGCACGCAGGCGGUCUGUCAAGUCGGAUGUGAAAUCCCCGGGCUCAACCUGGGAACUGCAUUCGAAACUGGCAGGCUAGAGUCUUGUAGAGGGGGGUAGAAUUCCAGGUGUAGCGGUGAAAUGCGUAGAGAUCUGGAGGAAUACCGGUGGCGAAGGCGGC
rnacentral:rRNA from 1 species